CUGUCUCUUCAACUCCCCUCUUCGUUCCGCCUGUCCUGUUUUCUCAUUGGCUCUUCUCCUUGAGCUUCCAAUGAGGGACAGGCAUGAUGUGGGAGUUCCGCUACACCCACCUCCCUGCUGACAGUCCUUUUGCCCUCUAGUCUGUUGAAGUCAGUUCUCGUCAGUUGAGUUGUUAGUUUGUUGUUACCAACAUGAACAUCUUACUGAUAAAAUGUUUACUUAGAAAUGUAAGCUGAUAUUAAAGCUGGUCUGUACCUAACCUAAUAUUGCCUGUGUAUUAUCUGAAGCAGCAACAGCCUAACCAGACAAGUUAAACGUAAUCUAUUCUGAGGAUGUCUGGAUGGUAAGGAGGAAUCACUCUCCUACUGAUUUCAUAGCUGGACUAUAUGCUGAUGGCUGGGGAAUUCUGGGAGUUGUAGUCAACACAUCUGGAAACAUCAGUUUGGAGAAAGCUGGCAUAGAAAACCAAGGUUAGGUCCAACCCUACUUCAGGGUUCCAUUGUCGAAGGGCGAGAUGAGACAGGGGCAGAUGAGGACAAACAAUCUCUAAAACCAAGGACCACGUUUUGCAAGAUUUUCAUGGGAAAUGCACCUCUUGCGGUCUUCUCUCAGGUUGUGCUGCAUUUUUAUCCUUUACAUGAGGUUACAGCACUUCGACCAAAUUCAGCAACCACUUCUGAAUUGCACACCAAUGGGUUACAGCCAUUAACUGUCCAGAGUACAGUUACUCUAAUAGACAUUGCAUCAUAUACAACAGUCUUCUGA
rnacentral:lncRNA from 1 species